rnacentral:rRNA from 1 species
UACGUAGGGUGCAAGCGUUGUCCGGAAUUAUUGGGCGUAAAGAGCGUGUAGGCGGCCAGGCAGGUCCGCUGUGAAAACUCGAGGCUCAACCUCGAGAAUGUCGGUGGAAACCGUCUGGCUAGAGUCCGGAAGAGGAGAGUGGAAUUCCCGGUGUAGCGGUGAAAUGCGCAGAUAUCGGGAAGAACACCCGUGGCGAAGGCGGCUACUCGUGGGACGGUACUGACGCUGAGACG